GAGGCCACGCCGGGCGUGUGGCGGCGCCCCGGCUGGCCUCUGGCGGGGAGCCCGAGACCGUCGCCUGCUGCCGGGACCAAGGGGCCAGCGAAGGAGGCGUGGGUGGACUCAGUUUUCAGGAGGCGGUCCUGAUCCCUGCCGGCCCUCUGCCCCAGAUGUCAGCCGGGAGACAGCUCCCUGCCCUGCUGGAACCAGACCGUUGAUGGCGGGUCCCGGUGGGUGAUGUAUGUAGCCCCUGGAAACAGACUGAAGAGCGGCGGCAAGAAAGGAGUUGGUCUCCGCAAACCGCCAGAAGUCAAGGAAGAUUUUGGAUAAAUCAUUAUCAAGGAAGCUAAGGACACCUGGGUUGUAUUGAAAGCACACCAGCCAUGAAAUCAGAAGGCCAGAAUUUGAAUUCCAGUUACUCACAAAUGAUGUAUUCCUCAUAUGAGAGGAAGUAUUAACUCAGAAGGAAAUUGUAAGGAUUUGGGAAAUUUAAAGAACUAAAAGGCCCAAAGAAGAGAUUUAACCAAAGAACCAAACUCAGAGAAAGUGAAUUUGGGAAUCUAAGUAACUGAGAAAUCAAAUCCAUUCUUUCUGAUAUUCCAUUGUUUUCUCUGCUCAUGGAUUCUCGCCACAGGACAAGCAAGGAUCUCAGCACACUUAAAUGUCACUUAGAUUCUUACAUCACAGCUGUACCAUAAGGAGUGUGAAUUGCUACUGGGCCACCAAUGUAAUCUCUACAGCUGACAUGGUGAGAACUCA